UACAGAGGUCCCAAGCGUUGUUCGGAUUCAUUGGGCGUAAAGGGUGCGUAGGCGGCGCGGUAAGUCAGGUGUGAAAUCUCGGGGCUCAACCCCGAAACUGCAUUUGAUACUGCCUUGCUCGAGUACUGGAGAGGAGAUUGGAAUUUACGGUGUAGCAGUGAAAUGCGUAGAUAUCGUAAGGAAGACCAGUGGCGAAGGCGAAUCUCUGGACAGUUACUGACACUGAGGCACGAAGGCCAGGGGAGCAAACGGG
rnacentral:rRNA from 1 species